rnacentral:misc_RNA from 1 species
AUUUUUCUUGCUUUUAAUAUGAAAGUUUUAGUAAAAGGUUUGUUAUUUAUCCUAGUUUGUUAUACAGUGUAAUUUUGAUGCUUUGAGAAGAGUGAUUUUUGUAUAUGAGACAAAAUAUCACACUAUCACGAGCGGGGUAAAAUGUGCCGUUCACGUGGGGCUGGUUUUGCCGCGGCACAACCAACCCCUAAGCAACCUUUAUUGUAUAAAUCGACCCUCACAAAGUAUAGACAACUUGCCUGUCUCUCGAAAUAAUCGAGAAAGGACUCCUGAAUAUCUUGAUGAGUCAAAUUAUGUGGGUAGCAAUGUUGAGAUUGAAACUAGUCAACCAUCAGGUAAUCAACAAGAGAUACGUCAGUGCUUUCAAGAGCCUAUCCCUUGCUGCAGCUUCCAGGAGCCUAUCCCUUGCUGCAGCUUCCAGCUUCCUCAGUCAGCUGAUAACAACACAGGAAAUAAAACUACAGAAAAUUUCUCACCAGAGCUAAUAAGACCUCUUGCCUAAAGCAUCUCCUAGAUUAACUGCACAUAGUAAAGGACGUAAAAGAAAGACAGCUGUUCUUACGGACACUCCAGAGAAAAAUGCUUUGGCCGAAGAGCAGGCUACUAAAAAGAAGAAGAAAGAAAGUGAAACUAAAAAGAAAGUUAAGGGAAAAGGCAAAGGAAAAGGCAAACAAAUAAAAAAA